rnacentral:rRNA from 1 species
GAUGAACGCUGGCGGCGUGCCUAAUACAUGCCAGUCGAGCGAACAGACGAGGAGCUUGCUCCUCUGACGUUAGCGGCGGACGGGUGAGUAACACGUGGAUAACCUACCUAUAAGACUGGGAUAACUUCGGGAAACCGGAGCUAAUACCGGAUAAUAUAUUGAACCGCAUGGUUCAAUAGUGAAAGACGGUUUUGCUGUCACUUAUAGAUGGAUCCGCGCCGCAUUAGCUAGUUGGUAAGGUAACGGCUUACCAAGGCAACGAUGCGUAGCCGACCUGAGAGGGUGAUCGGCCACACUGGAACUGAGACACGGUCCAGACUCCUACGGGAGGCAGCAGUAGGGAAUCUUCCGCAAUGGGCGAAAGCCUGACGGAGCAACGCCGCGUGAGUGAUGAAGGUCUUCGGAUCGUAAAACUCUGUUAUUAGGGAAGAACAAAUGUGUAAGUAACUAUGCGCGUCUUGACGGUACCUAAUCAGAAAGCCACGGCUAACUACGU